CUAGAUCUGGCGAUUUAGGAUUAUCCCUUAACAACAACACUGACUUUGGUUCUCAAUACAGUAAGUGCUUUUUGUUGGGGUAGUUUUGCUGA
rnacentral:pre_miRNA from 11 species